rnacentral:misc_RNA from 1 species
CCAAUAGCGUAUAUUAAAGUUGCUGCAGUUAAAAAGCUCGUAGUUGAAUUUCGGGACUAAUAUGUCGGUCGUGCCUCGGUACGUACUGGUAUUUUUGGUUUCUCCCUUCUGACGAACCUUGAUGUCAUUAAUUUGGUGUCUUGGGAAAUCAGGACUGUUACCUUGAAAAAAUUAGAGUGUUUAAAGCAGGCUCACGCUUGAAUACAUUAGCAUGGAAUAAUGAAAUAGGACGUUUGAUUCUAUUUUGUUGGUUUCUAGGAUCGACGUAAUGAUUAAUAGGGAUAGUUGGGGGCAUUAGUAUUCAAUUGUCAGAGGUGAAAUUCUUGGAUUUAUUGAAGACUAACUACUGCGAAAGCAUUUGCCAAGGAUGUUUUCAUUAAUCAAGAACGAAAGUUAGGGGAUCGAAGACGAUCAGAUACCGUCGUAGUCUUAACCAUAAACUAUGCCGACUAGGGAUCGGAUGAUGUUAAUUUUUUAAUGACUCAUUCGGCGCCUUACG